UAGUAUUAUAGGAAAGGAUUAACAACGGGAAAAGUGAAUAUGGGUAACCUUAGUAACUAAGGUUUUUUGAAAGUCAACUAUGAGAGAUACAUGAGUCUUUACAUAAAACCUCCCACCUACAAAAUACUGACUUUGCAGAUGAAGAAAAUGAGGCCAUGAGAAGUUAAGACUGGCAAAGGCCAAUGGCCAGUUAAGUAGCCAGCUCUUUUUCAGCUUCAGAGACAAUCCUUUACACAUUUCAUUUUCUUAGCUGCUCUGUGACUCACAGUGAAUUUUAUUAAUAUGGUUAUUUCUCAUCUCAGCUUCUGUG